rnacentral:rRNA from 1 species
GCUCAGCCCUAAACAUAAGUAACACCAACACAAUGUUACCCGCCAGAGAACUACAAGCGAAAAGCUAGAAACUCCAAGGACUUGGCGGUGCUCCAUAUCAACCUAGAGGAGCCUGUCCUAUAAUCGAUACCCCACGUUAAACCCUACCAUUUUUUGCAUUUAGCCUAUAUACCGCCGUCGCCAGCCUACCCUAUGAAUGACCCACAGUAGGCAAAACAGUUAACAACUAAAACGUCAGGUCAAGGUGUAGCAAAUAAAAUGGAAGAGAUGGGCUACAUUUUCUACCUCAGAAAAUACGAAAAGCACAAUGAAACUUGUGAUUGAAGGCGGAUUUAGCAGUAAGAUGAGCAAGAAAGCCCAUCUUAAACCAGCUCUGGAGCGCGC